rnacentral:rRNA from 1 species
UGGGGAAUUUUGGACAAUGGGCGAAAGCCUGAUCCAGCAAUGCCGCGUGUGUGAAGAAGGCCUUCGGGUUGUAAAGCACUUUUGUCCGGAAAGAAAUCCUUGGCUCUAAUACAGUCGGGGGAUGACGGUACCGGAAGAAUAAGCACCGGCUAACUACGUGCCAGCAGCCGCGGUAAUACGUAGGGUGCAAGCGUUAAUCGGAAUUACUGGGCGUAAAGCGUGCGCAGGCGGUUUGCUAAGACCGAUGUGAAAUCCCCGGGCUCAACCUGGGAACUGCAUUGGUGGCUGGCAGGCUAGAGUAUGGCAGAGGGGGGUAGAAUUCCACGUGUAGCAGUGAAAUGCGUAGAGAUGUGGAGGAAUACCGAUGGCGAAGGCAGCCCCCUGGGCCAAUACUGACGCUCAUGCACGAAAGCGUGGGGAGCAAACAGGAUUAGAUACCCUGGUAGUCCACGCCCUAAACGAUGUCAACUAGUUGUUGGGGAUUCAUUUCCUUAGUAACGUAGCUAACGCGUGAAGUUGACCGCCUGGGGAGUACGGUCGCAAGAUUAAAACUCAAAGG